ACGAACGCUGGCGGCGUGCUUAACACAUGCAAGUCGAACGGAUCUGAUGUAGCAAUAUGUCAGGUUAGUGGCGAACGGGUGCGUAACACGUGACCAAUCUGCCCCGGACUGGGGAAUAACGGAGGGAAACUUUCGCUAAUACCGCAUAUUGAGCGCGGGCUGCAUAGUCUGCGCUUGAAAGCUUCGGCGGUCCGGGAUGAGGUCGCGCCCCAUUAGCUUGUUGGCGGGGUAAUGGCCCACCAAGGCGACGAUGGGUAGCUGGUCUGAGAGGACGAUCAGCCACACUGGGACUGAGAUACGGCCCAGACUCCUAUGGGAGGCAGCAGUGAGGAAUAUUGCGCAAUGGGCGAAAGCCUGACGCAGCAACGCCGCGUGAGGGAUGAAGGUGCUCUGCAUUGUAAACCUCUGUAGGGAGGGACGAAUCGCCCGGUCAUCCGGGCAUUGACGGUACCUCCAAAGUAAGCACCGGCUAACUCCGU
rnacentral:rRNA from 1 species